UACGUAGGGUGCGAGCGUUAAUCGGAAUUACUGGGCGUAAAGUGUGCGCAGGCGGCCGAGCAAGUCGAGUGUGAAAUCCCCGGGCUUAACUUGGGAAUUGCGCUCGAAACUACUUGGCUGGAGUGUGGCAGAGGAAGGUGGAAUUCCACGUGUAGCGGUGAAAUGCGUAGAUAUCGGGAGGAACACCAGUGGCGAAGGCGACUACCUGGCCUGUUUCUUGACGCUGAGGCGCGAAAGCUAGGGGAGCAAACGGG
rnacentral:rRNA from 1 species